rnacentral:rRNA from 1 species
AGUGAACGCUGGCGGUAGGCCUAACACAUGCAAGUCGAACGGCAGCACAGUAAGAGCUUGCUCUUACGGGUGGCGAGUGGCGGACGGGUGAGGAGUACAUCGGAAUCUACUUUUUCGUGGGGGAUAACGUAGGGAAACUUACGCUAAUACCGCAUACGACCUACGGGUGAAAGCAGGGGAUCUUCGGACCUUGCGCGAUUGAAUGAGCCGAUGUCGGAUUAGCUAGUUGGCGGGGUAAAGGCCCACCAAGGCGACGAUCCGUAGCUGGUCUGAGAGGAUGAUCAGCCACACUGGAACUGAGACACGGUCCAGACUCCUACGGGAGGCAGCAGUGGGGAAUAUUGGACAAUGGGCGCAGGCCUGAUCCAGCCAUACCGCGUGGGUGAAGAAGGCCUUCGGGUUGUAAAGCCCUUUUGUUGGGAAAGAAAAGCAGCAGGUUAAUACCCCGCUGUUCUGACGGUACCCAAAGAAUAAGCACCGGCUAACUUCGUG